CAAGACAAUACCUUGUGUAAAACACCUUUUUUUUUUUUUUUAAAAAAAAAAACUAAUUUCUAUUUAUUAUGGAUAAAUUAGGCUUAACAAAAUGCACUCGGAAACCUUCCUUUUCUAGCACAGUGUAUUUUUAAGCGAGAUAGAUAAGAUCAUAAAAUCAACACAUUUUCACACCAGGUUUUCCUUUUUGUUUAUUUUCUUUCUUUCUUAGAAAGGUUCUGGUCCUCAGUGAAGUCAGCAGCUUUUCCUAGUUUGAGAGAGGAUUGCACGUUCUUCACUCGGAAGGAAAUCCUUCGGU
rnacentral:lncRNA from 1 species